rnacentral:lncRNA from 1 species
UAGGAAUCUUUUUUUUUUUAGAGCAGAAGUUGCGGAAUAAUCUUCGCAAUCGCUGGUCCUCUCGCUGAGCGUGCUGGCAGCCUGCCCACGGAAGGAAGAUCUGUACUCACACCUGUUAAGCAGGAACAUGUUUUUACAAACACUGCUCUUCCACACAAAGAUCAAAGACUUCUCCAACAUCCCUCUGUGAAUCAGGAACCCAAACCACCUCUGCAAUAUUCUUCAGCUUUCAUUGCAAGAAGUUGCCACACUAAGGUGCUUUUCCUGGAACUCAAGUAAAUAGGAGCAGACAGAACAAUUGCCUUUUCUUCUUUACAUGAUUUUCUUUGCCUCAAAGGAUAGACCAAGAGGAAAUAAAAUCACUAGAUCUUUGCUCUAGAAAACCUGU